UUACGGGAGGCUGCAGUGGGGAAUAUUGGACAAUGGGCGAAAGCCUGAUCCAGCCAUGCCGCGUGUGUGAAGAAGGCCUUCGGGUUGUAAAGCACUUUCAGUGGGGAAGAAAGCCUUGGGGCUAAUACCCUCGAGGAAGGACAUCACCCACAGAAGAAGCACCGGCUAACUCCGUGCCAGCAGCCGCGGUAAUACGGAGGGUGCGAGCGUUAAUCGGAAUUACUGGGCGUAAAGCGCGCGUAGGCGGUCUGAUAAGCCGGUUGUGAAAGCCCCGGGCUCAACCUGGGAACGGCAUCCGGAACUGUCAGGCUAGAGUGCAGGAGAGGAAGGUAGAAUUCCCGGUGUAGCGGUGAAAUGCGUAGAGAUCGGGAGGAAUACCAGUGGCGAAGGCGGCCUUCUGGACUGACACUGACGCUGAGGUGCGAAAGCGUGGGUAGCAAACAGGAUUAGAUACCCCAGUAGUC
rnacentral:rRNA from 1 species